AUAGAUAAUACAAAUAUUUUGUUGAAUCUAUUGAAUAUUUUACCUAAAAAGUUACUGACUUCUAUGAUGGUAAAUCUACCAAAAACAAUUUGAAACUAUCUAAAUGUAGUUUACUGUUACAGCUAUAGCAAGUUAUUAUACAGCGUAUUUGGAACGUAAAAUCCAAGAAAGUUUACCAAGAGAAUUCAAAAUCGAGAAUCCAGUAACUACAUACUGUGGAACAGUUAUUCCAGGAGAUAAAAACACUUAUUUAGAGAAUCUUUUUACAAUAAAACCAGAUUCUGAUGCUGAGUAAACGUACACUUCUCAACACCCCCGGAACUUCUUACUGUAAUCAGAUUAUUCCAGGACAGAAAGACCAUUUUUUUAAUAACCUUAUAAUAUUAUAUAUUAUAUAUCUAACCAUUAUAUAGAGUACCAAUAUUUCUAUUUUGUCUAAUUAUUUUAUGUAAAAUUAAAUUGUCUAAUACAAUAAUAAUAUAUGAACUUGAUUCAUAUUAUAUUGUUAGGUUUUCGUUAACUCCUAAAAUAUAUGGAUUAUAUCAUUA